rnacentral:rRNA from 1 species
AGAGUUUGAUCAUGGCUCAGAUUGAACGCUGGCGGCAUGCCUUACACAUGCAAGUCGAACGGCAGCGACGGGGGCAACCCUGGUGGCGAGUGGCGAACGGGUGAGUAACAUAUCGGAACAUACCCUAGAGUGGGGAUAACGUAGACGAAAGUUACGCUAAUACCGCAUACGAUCUAAGGAUGAAAGUGGGGGAUCUUCGGACCUCAUGCUCAUGGAGUGGCCGAUAUCUGAUUAGCUAGUUGGUGAGGUAAAGGCUCACCAAGCCGACGAUCGGUAGCUGGUCUGAGAGGAUGAUCAGCCACACUGGGACUGAGAUACGGCCCAGACUCCUACGGGAGGCAGCAGUGGGGAAUAUUGGACAAUGGGGGCAACCCUGAUCCAGCAAUGCCGCGUGAGUGAUGAAGGCCUUAGGGUUGUAAAGCUCUUUUGCCAGGGAAGAUGAUGACUGUACCUGGAGAAUAAGCCCCGGCUAACUUCGUG